rnacentral:tRNA from 1 species
GCAUAGCUCAGUUGACCAGAGCAUGGUGCUGAUAAUGCCAAGGUUGCAGGUUCGAUUCCUGUAUGGGACAGCUGCA